rnacentral:tRNA from 1 species
UGUUCUGUGGCUUAGUUGGUUGAAACGCUGGUGUAGCGAAUAGGAAGACAUGGGUUCGAAUCCCAUCAGAACGC